CCUACGGGUGGCUGCAGCAAGGAAUUUUCGUCAAUGGGGGAAACCCUGAACGAGCAACGCCGCGUGGGCGAAGAAGUCCUUCGGGAUGUAAAGCCCUUUUCCCUGUGAAGAAAGAAAGACGGUAGCAGGGGAAUAAGCAUCGGCUAACUACGUGCCAGCAGCCGCGGUAAUACGUAGGAUGCAAGCGUUGUCCGGAAUUAUUGGGCGUAAAGAGCGCGCAGGCGGUUUUACAAGUCAGAUGUGAAAGAGGCCGGCUUAACCGGCAAGGGUCAUUU
rnacentral:rRNA from 1 species